CGGACGUGAGGAACCUGCCUCAAAGAGGGGGACAACAGUUGGAAACGACUGCUAAUACCGCAUAAGCCCACAGCUCGGCAUCGAGCAGAGGGAAAAGGAGUGAUCCGCUUUGAGAUGGCCUCGCGUCCGAUUAGCUAGUUGGUGAGGUAAUGGCCCACCAAGGCGACGAUCGGUAGCCGGACUGAGAGGCUGAACGGCCACAUUGGGACUGAGACACGGCCCAG
rnacentral:rRNA from 1 species